UUAGCGGAUGAGAGAAUUUCAGAAACAGCCACUGAGAACAGAGGGCCCUUUUAUAGUGGAUUGGACUAAACUUACCCGCCACCCUUUUUUUUUUUUUUUUUUUUUUUUUAAUAUCUGAAACAGUAAAAGCGAGCGAGAGAAAAGAAAGCUACGUGAUCUUCUUCUACAAUGUCGAUCAUUUUCUGUUCUUGACUCCGGCCGGUGAUGCAUCUCCAGACCACGAAUCGGAAGCCGAGAUGUUGAAUGGAGGAAAACAACUCGAAAAGACAAUAAUACUCGAAUUGAUGACUGGUUCAGAACAACGAAUUAGUACAAGAAACAAGAAGAAAUCAAUGACAGAAACAAGAAAC